ACGAACGCUGGCGGCGUGCCUAAUACCUGCAAGUUGAGCGAUGAAGAUUGGUGCUUGCACCAAUUUGAAGAGCAGCGAACGGGUGAGUAACGCGUGGGGAAUCUGCCUUUGAGCGGGGGACAACAUUUGGAAACGAAUGCUAAUACCGCAUAACAACUUUAAACAUAAGUUUUAAGUUUGAAAGAUGCAAUUGCAUCACUCAAAGAUGAUCCCGCGUUGUAUUAGCUAGUUGGUGAGGUAAAGGCUCACCAAGGCGAUGAUACAUAGCCGACCUGAGAGGGUGAUCGGCCACAUUGGGACUGAGACACGGCCCAAACUCCUACGGGAGGCAGCAGUAGGGAAUCUUCGGCAAUAGACGAAAGUCUGACCGAGCAACGCCGCGUGAGUGAAGAAGGUUUUCGGAUCGUAAAACUCUGUUGGUAGAGAAGAACGUUGGUGAGAGUGGAAAGCUCAUCAAGUGACGGUAACUACCCAGAAAGGGACGGCUAACUACGUG
rnacentral:rRNA from 1 species